rnacentral:rRNA from 1 species
AUUGAACGCUGGCGGCAUGCUUUACACAUGCAAGUCGAACGGUAACAGGUCUUCGGAUGCUGACGAGUGGCGAACGGGUGAGUAAUGCAUCGGAACGUGCCCAGUCGUGGGGGAUAACGCAGCGAAAGCUGCGCUAAUACCGCAUACGAUCUAUGGAUGAAAGCGGGGGACCGUAAGGCCUCGCGCGAUUGGAGCGGCCGAUGUCAGAUUAGGUAGUUGGUGGGGUAAAGGCCCACCAAGCCAACGAUCUGUAGCUGGUCUGAGAGGACGACCAGCCACACUGGGACUGAGACACGGCCCAGACUCCUACGGGAGGCAGCAGUGGGGAAUUUUGGACAAUGGGCGCAAGCCUGAUCCAGCAAUGCCGCGUGCAGGAAGAAGGCCUUCGGGUUGUAAACUGCUUCUGUACGGAACGAAACGGCCCUCUCUAAUACAGAGGGCUAAUGACGGUACCGUAAGAAUAAGCACCGGCUAACUACGUGCCAGCAGCCGCCGUAAGAC